GCUGAAGGAAAAUCAGUGUCCCUGGUUCUUAUGCUCCAUCUCUGGAAGUGUCCAAGGCCAGGUUGGACAGAGCUUGGAGCAGGCUGGGAUUUUGGGGUCUCCAGAGCUGGGCACAGCACUGCAGGAGAUUCUGGAUGUCAAAAUAUUCUGUUUCUGUGCUCUCCAGGACACAGCCAAAAAUAUUCAUUGCUAUUUCCCUCCUCAUCCUAAUAAAGAGCUGUGAAUGCUCCAGGUAAGAGGCUCCAUGAGAUAACUGAGUACUCCUUAAGCAGUCUUGACCCUCAUAAAAACCAUCCCCACCAUGGUCAUCUUUCUUCCUGAAUAAUACAUUUCCCAUCUGGUCCUGCUGACGAUUAUACAGGCUGGCCAAGCUCAUCUUUUUUAUGUGCUUAUCACUCACAUGGCUAUUGAUUAAGUGCCUUCCCCUUUUCCCUUCAAAGCUGAAGGCACAUCUCUACAUGCUCUGAAACAAGGUAGGAUCAAACUCCAGCCUAAUGCUUUCUAAAAUCCUGUGUCCAUGAAAUGCAAUUCCGUGUGCUGGGGGAAGAGCAGGCUUCCCAUCAGUGCUGGUGACAGAUAAGUGGAGCUAACACUGGAUUCUGACCUCUCUUUUGUGCCAGGAGAUAAAUGCUCAGAGCGCCUGAAACCUCUCCUUGUAACAGUUGCUGAGUGUAAAGGGUUGAGAAUGAACUUUAGAAAUAGAGCAGAUAUUUCUUAUUUCACCAUUAGUAUCAAGCUGGAGUGGUUUUCCACGAAAAUGCUUCUCUUGCAGAGCAACUUCAUCUAACUCUGACAUGAUAACUUUCUCUAUUGACCCUGAUGGGAUUGGAGCAAAGGCUGCCACGGGUCACUUGAAACCUGAUUUAAGCCUGAUUUAUUCCACAACUUAGUGGGGACAAAAAUAAUAAAAAAAAAAUCAGAGAACGAAUGGUUGGGGCACAUUUUAGGCUGGAGAUGCCGUGGAGAGAAUGGAACAGUGGUCAUGAACAAGAAGAGGUCAGUGCCCUGUGGUUAAUGCCACUGGGAAUAGCACUGGAUACACACCCUGGGACAUCUCUGUGCUGUCCUUUUCAGCCAGCUAAUAGGAUUUUAGGCACUGAUAGUGAAAGGCCACAGGCUUUGAGCUGACCUGACACUGGGGGAGCUCAGGAUGUCUCUAAACUUGCUGUGCCCAGAGCUGGGUGUCCCUGUGACCACAAGUGUCCCAUGAACAAGGGUCUUGUGCCUGAGCUCAGCACUGGGGACACCCCCAUGGCCACUGUCCAGUAAAAACCAGCCCUGGGUGGGGACAGGGGGAUGGACAAACCAAGAGUGAGGAGAAGAAACUCCAGCAUGGCCAUCACACCCCUGCCAGCGAGGAGCUCAGGGCGGUCAUGGCUUUUUAUUUCCCCUCCUCCUUAUCCAUGGAGAAACACUGGAUCUGUCCAUUUUGGGAUGAAGAGCAACACUGGCAGGGUAAGCAGGACACCAGGGAUGGGGGGUGGACACUGGGAAGGCAGGAAUGGCUCUUACAGCAGUUUGAACAACAUCAUUAAUGACAUUUUAUCAUACUAAUUGGAUAACUUGAACUAUUAGACUGUUAAAACACUUAGUGGUGUAAGAAUAAAUUUUCAGCUCGGAUAGAUGGUCUUUCCUUUGUCCCAUAACAGGAUUUUGACAGCAUUGCUAAGCCCUUUUAUCACUCUUGGAGAGAAACGUGCCCUGCUGGUGCUCAGAGCAUCUCGUCUGGAGACAGAGCUGUCGAGAGCAGGGCAGACAAAUCUCAUUCUGGAAGUGCCCAUCUCUCUCCCCUGAUUCUAAAGAGCAUCCAGACAGCUGGCUCAGAGGGUGAUGCUUGCAGUGAAAUAGGAGAGGCUAGGUGAGAUAAAUCCCCGGCUGCCUGAAUAAAUUUUCAAUUUGACUUCAGGAGAGAUGUGAGGAACGCUCUGGGGAGCUUUCCCUGAUGGAAGUGUCAUUAAAUCCAGCAUGUUGGAGUGCAGAUAGUCCCUGCUCCUCGUUGUUCCCCUGACCUCAAACACCACAGAAAAUGUCUGUGUUCACCUUAGGGGACUCUGAUGGCAGCCUAAAAAUGGCCACCCGUGUUUUUAGGAAAGAGAAACAAGCUGAGAGAGAUUUUAAGAUUAAAUUUCCUCUAGUGAAGAAAUCCAGAUCCAUCUGCCACGCCCCUAAUAUAAUUUAAUAACACAAUUCUUCUGCUUUUGGGGGGAUCCCUCAUCUGUGGGUCUUUUAAGAGAGAAAGAUCUAAAACCCAGUUUUCUUUUUUUAUUUUCGUUUUCUUGGAAAUUUCUAUGAAAUGAGUGGAUCAUUUGUCAAAAAGAGCUAUCCCUCCUCACUAGGCACACCCUGUCUUCAUGCUCACAACCAGACAAAGACCCUGGAAAAAAUCAGGAAGGUGUUUUAGGGAGUAAAAGAAGGUAUCUAAAAUAGCAGAUAAUAAAGUGAAUCACAGAUUUUUUUAUUACAGGGGAGUUGAAGCCUCUUCCCAAAUGAGUGGAGUGAUGGUGAAGUGAAAAACUAAACACUGAGUUUGGUUUCUCCAUAGCUAAAAUGUGGGAGAUGCUGUGCCAGGAUAUCAAAAAUACCAUGAAUUUACAUCUCAGAGGAGGACUAGGCUGUGAAGGAGAAAAAGAGUGGGAAUUUCUGUAGGUUGGAAAAGCAUGAGGGGCAAAACCCAUCACUGCUCACACUGGGAUGAGGGAAAAACCUUUUGGUCAGGAAAUUCUUACUCCUUGAAACUUCCUGGGCUGGCUUUGAAAGCAGCUGGAGGGUGCAGCUAUUGGAUGUAGAUAUAAUUUCAAUAUCAACCACUUGGAGAAGCCCCCUGGCCUGGCAAAUUUUACAUUCCUCAAAUAUUCCCAAUAGCUGUUAUUUUAAAGGGUGAGCAAGAAAAGGAGGCACGUUCACAGAUCGAUGCCGUAGAAAGAAAUCCUGCAGAAUUAGCAGAAAGAGAAAAAGGGAGUUUCCAUGACAACCACCUUCAACCAGCACCACCAGCACCACCAGUGAGUGCAGAGUGUGAAAAUACCAGAAAAAAAAUAGGGAGUUUGGGGCGCAGCUCCCUGGGUGUGUUUGGGGGAGUGGACAUCUCCCUUGGGAAGGGACCAGGAGAGCUCCCAGAGAAUGAAACAGUCUGACAAGGGAAGGUCUGGGCUGCUCCUGGGAGCUGAGGUGAUGUGGAGAACCUGGAUUUGUGCCUGGUGAGGCUCAGCAGGGCAGUGUGUGGGGCUGUGGUGGGCUCAUCCAGAGGAUGUGGAGCAAUCCAUGGGGAAAGCUCUGAAUUCUGCAGCAUGCUGGGCGAUCCAGUGCCCAUCCCCACGUUCAGCACCCCAGGGAACCUGUCCCAGCACUCAUCCUGCAUCCAGCACAGUGAUCCCAGCCAGAUCCAGCCCUAAAAAUUCCCAAACCGCUUCCAUGGCCAAGUGGCCACUCACUGACCACCCCGAGGGGGGCUGAUGUUAAACUCCUGCCUCCUCUCUGGGAACAGACUGCACAACCUCAGCCCCUUGAUGAGCAUUAUCCAAAGGGAUUUCCAUCAAAAUAAUUCCCAGGGGUUAAUAAAUAGACAGCAGUACCUGCAGGGUUGGAGUAAAUAAUUUCCAGCGUGUUGUUCCAAUGUCAUUGUUUUACUGCCACAUAAACACAUAUAUUAGAGGGGGGGUUGAAUGGGCAGCUGUAAGUAAUACAGAGAGGUUUGUAUAAAAAUGAAUUAUGCAAAUAUGAUCUCCCUUUCCUUGUGAGCGCAAUAAUAAAAAUGUAAAAUAAAUCUUAA